rnacentral:rRNA from 1 species
AAAGGAAUAGACGGGAGCCCGCACAAGCAGUGGAGUAUGUGGUUUAAUUCGACGCAACGCGAAGAACCUUACCGGAGCUUGACAUCCACAGAAGGCCGGGUAAUGCUGGCUGUGCCCUUCGGGGAACUGUGAGACAGGUGGUGCAUGGUUGUCGUCAGCUCGUGUCGUGAGAUGUUGGGUUAAGUCCCGCAACGAGCGCAACCCUUACGGUCAGUUGCUACGCAAGAGCACUCUGACCGGACUGCCGUUGACAAAACGGAGGAAGGUGGGGACGACGUCAAAUCAUCAUGCCCCUUACGUUCCGGGCCACACACGUACUACAAUGGCGCAAACAAAGGGAAGCUAAGCCGCGAGGCGGAGCAAACCCCAGAAAAGGCGUCCCAGUUCGGACUGCAGGCUGAAACUCGCCUGCACGAAGUUGGAAUUGCUAGUAAUCGCGGAUCAGCAUGCCGCGGUGAAUACGUUCCCGGGCUUUGUACACACCGCCCGU